rnacentral:rRNA from 1 species
ACGCUCGACACCUACGGGAAGCAGCAGUGGGGAAUAUUGCACAAUGGGGGAAACCCGUGAUGCAGCGACGCCGCGUGAGCGAAGAAGUAUUUCGGUAUGUAAAGCUCUAUCAGCAGGGAAGAAACUGACGGUACCUGACUAAGAAGCACCGGCUAAAUACGUGUCAGCAGCCGCGGUAAUCUGAGCGGGCUGGCAAGGC